rnacentral:misc_RNA from 1 species
GGUUGUAUUUGGAUAAUUUUCUUAUAGUUUUCUUUUGGCGUAUAAUAUAUUAGCAUUUCUAUUUGCAUGUUAAUAUAAUUAAAAUUUAAAGGAGAAAAAAAAAAUCAUCAGGGGAACAGGGAUCCCUGCAGAGACGUUGAUGAGGACAGGGAUGCCGCAUUGAGGUCCUGGCAGAAUGGGGAUUGGCUUGUCGUACCUGCCUCAACCCACUGCCACUCCUACUUGUUGCUAACAUAGGAACAUGAAAAAUUGUUCUCCCUUCUCAACUUUCCACUGCUGGAGCCAAAUAAUGCCUUUUUUUUAUUAUUAUUAUGUUUCAUAUCAUGGUUCAAUUUUGAGUUCAC